AAACUCAAAGGAAUUGACGGGUCCCCGCACAAGCAGCGGAGCGUGUGGUUUAAUUCGUUGCUACACGAAGAACCUUACCUGGGUUUGACAUAGCAGUGGUAGGGAAGCGAAAGCGGACCGACCCUUCGGGGAGCUGUUACAGGUGUUGCACGGCUGUCGUCAGCUCGUGUCGUGAGAUGUUCGGUUAAGUCCGCUAACGAGCGCAACCCGCGUUGUGUGUUACAAGUGUCACACAAUACCGCCGGUAUUAAGUCGGAGGAAGGUGCGGAUGACGUCAAGUCAGCAUGACCUUUAUAUCCAGGGCUACACACACGCUACAAUGGUCGGCACAAUAGGUUGCCAAGUCGCGAGACGGAGCCAAUCCUCCAAAGCCGGCCUCAGUUCAGAUUGCAGGCUGCAACUCGCCUGCAUGAAGUUGGAGUUGCUAGUAAACGCAGGUCAGCUAUACUGCGUUGAAUACGUUCCCGGGGAUU
rnacentral:rRNA from 1 species